rnacentral:rRNA from 2 species
GGAAGGGCGGCAGCUACACAUGCAGUCGAGCGGCAGCACAGUAAGAGCUUGCUCUUAUGGGUGGCGAGUGGCGGACGGGUGAGGAAUACAUCGGAAUCUACUUUUUCGUGGGGGAUAACGUAAGGAAACUUACGCUAAUACCGCAUACUACCUACGGGUGAAAGCAGGGGAUCUUCGGACCUUGCGCGAUUGAAUGAGCCGAUGUCGGAUUAGCUAGUUGGCGGGGUAAAGGCCCACCAAGGCGACGAUCCGUAUCUGGUCUGAAAGGAUGAUCAGCCACACUGGAACUGAGACACGGUCCAGACUCCUACGGGAGGCAGCAGUGGGGAAUAUUGGACAAUGGGCGCGAGCCUGAUCCAGCCAUACCGCGUGGGUGAAGAAGGCCUUCGGGUUGUAAAGCCCUUUUGUUGGUAAAGAAAUCCAGCCGGCUAAUACCUGGUUGGGAUGACGGUACCCAAAGAAUAAGCACCGGCUAACUUCUUGCCACCAGCCGGGGGUAAACAAAUAUACAA